ensembl:lncRNA
CGCAGGGCGGAUCGCUGCAGCUUUGUCUCCGGCGCCGCGGGUCGUUCGGGGAGCGAGGGAUCUUCCUAACCCAGGGAUCAAACCCUCAUCUCCUGCGUCUCCUGCAUUGGCAGGUGGAUUCUUACCACUGCGCCACCUGGGAAGUGGAUACUAUGCUGCUGCUGCUGCUGCUAAGUCACUUCAGUCGUGUCUGACUCUGUGCGACCCCAGAGACAGCAGCCCACCAGGCUCCCCCGUCCCUGGGAUUCUCCAGGCAAGGACACUGGAGUGGGUUGACAUUUCCUUCUCCAGUGCAUGAAAGUGAAAAGUGGAAGUGAAGUCGCUCAGUCGUGUCCGACUUCUAGCGACCCCAUGGACUACAGCCUACUAGGCUCCUCCGUCCAUGGGAUUUUCCAGGCAAGAGUCCUGGAGUGGGUUGCUAUUGCCUUCUCCGCGGAUACUAUAAUUACACCCAUUUAAGGACGAGGAAACUGAGGUCCCCAAAGGCUAAGUCGCCUCCUCAGGGUCACGAGGCUAAUACAUGGGGAAUCAGGGUUUAAACCCUGACCCUCUGGCUCCAGAAUCCAUCCUCCUGUGCCUAUACUGUGUGCCAUCCUAGAAUGUCACUGUCCCUUUGUCAGGUUGGGGAGGUGACAGCUGAGGGCAGCACACACAUCUGGGAGCCUCAGCCCCACUCCAAGCUCCUCUUUGGACAAACCCAAACUUCCUUUCUCCCUUGAGGAUGCAUCUCCUUGUCCAGAGCAGGGCUUAAUCCCUUCUGUCUCUUCUCUGGAAUGUUUCGAGAAUUUGUGUCUGUCAAAUGCUUUGGAGAAACAUGAAAAGAAUUUUUUAAAUGCCAAGUCUCUCUUUUUUUUAAAUCAAUUAUAGAUUUGCCUUUGGAGGUAACCCUAUGACAACCUGAAAUCCCAAACCCUCAUCCUACCAGAGCGAACACAAAUAAUCGCUCCGCUGGGCUUUCGGUGAUCGCUUAGGAUUUCACGUUCACAGGCACUGAGCCGAGAAGUGGGGUCUGGAGGGGAAGUCUGGAGCCUCGAGCCCCGCACGGCUCCCUAAGCGGAGCCGCAUGGCGCAGCUGCAAGUGGCGUGUGCGCCAUCAGAGCAAUUCUGGCAGGUCCUCUUGAGGGGCCUAAUAACGAGACGCUUCGCAAACUGGAAGACAUUAGCUCCAACCACAGACCAUCCAGUCGGUCCAUAUUUAAUGAUGCUUCCCAAAUGUGUGAAGCACUUGGUUUUAGAACAACAGGAAGACAGGAAUCGCCUGGAACCGCAGAUCGGAAUUUCAUCCUGGCCGUCACGUCCCCCCAGGGAAGCCCUGCUUUCUCUGUUGGCGAAGAGUGGCGGGCACAGCACCGCCUGGUGCCCCCACCUCCACCUUGGGGCUGGCAUACCUCAGGGAGGGUGACAUCUCCGUGCCCUGCAUCCCAGCCUGGCGCGCUUGCACAAGGAGCCUACCAUCCAGCCAGGCCUGGAAACAUGAGCGCCUCCACUGGGUACACCAGGCCUCGGAAACCACCACAAAAUCACUGCCUUCCCUCUGCUUUGCUUUGCAGAGCUGCCCCCCUCUCACGGCAGCUCCAGGAGGCCCUUCUGACAAGAGAGCAUUGUGGCUGGGGUCUGGCCCCUCCCCGCCACAAAAGGGCCUUUCAGGGUUGUGAUCUGGGAGGUGGGGACCGCACGCCCGCUCAUUAGCCAGCUCUGGGCGCGACGUCCCCGGCUCACCGAGUGAGCGGUACCUGGAACCAAAAGCUCUCAUCUGGAAUCAAACGCUUUAUUUGAUUUUCAACAGGGAGCUCUCCUGACGGCAGCAAACUUGUUUGUCCAGGGGAGAAGUGGUUGGCUGUUUACACCAGCAGAUGACAGAACGCUCGCAGUCCCGCUGUCGGAAAAGCGAUUGCCUUCAGGAGGCAAGGCUACGUUCAAACGGAUGGAUUUAUGGCGUCGCCGGUUUCGGAAGGACACCAAAGGGAUGGCCGGCCCUGGUCACAUGCAGGGAGCUUGGCGGCUUGGAGGAAGGACAGGAGGGAAGGAAACUUCAUGCUCUGUCCCUUGGGCCCUGGGAGCCUUCAACCACCUGAACAAACAGCUAAUUCACAAGGCCUCCAUCCUUAGAAGGCGUCUGAGAGAGGGCGGGCGGGCGCGGACGACAGCCGGCUCGUGGAAAGCGGGGCAGUGUGCGCGUGCCUCCGCCGGGGAUCUCAGAUCUAAUUGCUUUCAGCAGAGCCCGGCCCGCCAUGUAAUUAAGCCAAGGGGGCUGCGGGCUCCCAGGGUCUAAGUGAUUUCAUGUGCUUUCGGUGAUUGUGCUCAGCUCCUUGGAUGAAAGUGCUGUUUUAUUUUCACCUACAAGAUGGUUCCCAGAGAGGACCUCGCUGGGGCUGGGGGCUGCUUUCCUGCGGCGGUG